rnacentral:ribozyme from 1 species
AGCAAUACUACCCUGAUGUGGGUAUGGAUCCGAAGCCUCUUGAAGGAUAAUAUAGGUACUCCAUACCCUACUCCGACUCAAUAUGUCCACGUCGUCGACAGAAUGGUAACAUAUUUCUCCAGAUAUCUGAGCUUGGAUAUACGGGGAAACCCAACCUCUUGGGAAGAUGGGCUAAGUGGCUAAAUUGAGCGGA